rnacentral:rRNA from 1 species
CCUACGGGAGGCAGCAGUGAGGAAUAUUGGUCAAUGGGCGUAAGCCUGAACCAGCCAAGCCGCGUGAGGGAUGAAGGUUCUAUGGAUCGUAAACCUCUUUUAUAAGGGAAUAAAGUGUGGGACGUGUCCUAUUUUGUAUGUACCUUAUGAAUAAGGAUCGGCUAACUCCGUGCCAGCAGCCGCGGUAAGACGGAGGAUCCGAGCGUUAUCCGGAUUGAUUGGGUUUAAAGGGUGCGUAGGCGGCCUUUUAAGUCAGUGGUGAAAGUCUGUGGCUCAACCAUAGAAUUGCCGUUGAAACUGGGGGGCUUGAGUAUGUUUGAGGCAGGUGGAAUGCGUGGUGUAGCGGUGAAAUGCUUAGAUAUCAGGCAGAACCCCGAUGGCGAAGGCAGCCUGCCAAGCCAUGACUGACGCUGAUGUACGAAAGCGUGGGGAUCAAACAGGAUUAGAUACCCUUGUAGUC